GCUCUAAUCGUUCAAUGUUAAGACAUUUUCUUUUCAAGAAAAAAAUAGGAAUUAGAAUUUCCUUUAGAGUA
rnacentral:tRNA from 1 species